UACGGGGGGUGCGAGCGUUGUCCGGAAUCACUGGGCGUAAAGGGCGCGUAGGUGGUCUGAUAAGGGUGUGGUGAAAGUCCGGGGCUCAACCCCGGAUCUGCCGUGCCGACUGUCAGACUCGAGGACUGUAGAGGCAGACGGAAUUCCGGGUGUAGCGGUGGAAUGCGUAGAGAUCCGGAGGAAGACCGGUGGCGAAGGCGGUCUGCUGGGCAGUUUCUGACACUGAGGCGCGACAGCGUGGGGGAGCAAACAGG
rnacentral:rRNA from 1 species